UUCAACACGGUCCUAUUGGUGCUAUGGCCCUGAUCGUUUUGCAUUGGGCAGGAUACGUCACUUAAAUUGACGUGCUGCUAAAGCUACCGAGGCGAUCGCCAUAGCGACCGCAGGACAGUUUUCUUCUUGGGUCUCCCUUCCCACUUUGUCUGCAUGCGCUGAUGAGCGAGGAGGCUGAGGGAAACAUUUACCUCAGCUUUACAUUUAACGAAGAAAAAAACAAUCUCAUCUGAAUGUGGUGCUGGUCAGAGGUGUGAUGAUGAUGAUGAUGAAGCCUCUCCCUGGUUUCAGUCUGAGCUCAGAGAUCAAAUCUUUGGUUCUUGUUGAACUCUUUGUUGGAUGUGAUGCAGCUUCUCCUUUUUAAUGUUUGUAUUUCUGGAUAUCACAGUGAGGCCACAGCAGGUUUUCAGCAGCAGGUUGUUUAGUGUUUCAUUCCUUCAUCUGUGUGGAUGGAGCAGGUAUCCAGGUGUUGAUCAGAGUUUAGACUGAUUGGAUUUUAAUGGUGAUUAUUAAAUCAGGUUGAGCUUCCAGAAAUCUUUCCUGAUGUCCUUUUAGGCUUCAGUGAGUUUCUUCAGGUUGUUGCUGAGGGAUUUCCUUUCUCCUCUCUGUUGGAGCUGCAGCAGCACCAACUGUCCUUCCUACAUCCACUGCAGUUUUCAUCAUCAUUAUCGUCAUAGUCCAGCUUUAUACGACAAGUGGACGUGUCCAAAUGUUGGACUGUCUCAGUGGAGGACAGUGUGUUUUACAUGUAAUGUCCAUGUUUGCUGCUGAAAGAGGCUGAUGGUCUGACCCCCUCCUCCUUUCAGGGUGGAGCCUGCUGGAGGCCGAUGGUUGACACCAGGUCUGAGGAAGUAUUCCUGUCAACUCACCAUCGACACAAACUCAAUGAAUCAAUACCUCAAAGUUUGUGAAGACAACAGGAAGGUGACACGUGUGAAGGAGUGUCAGUCAUAUCCUGAUCAUCCAGACAGAUUUGAUCAUCAUCACAAUGUCCUGUGUGGAACUGGUCUGACUGGUCGCUGUUACUGGGAGGUCGAGUGGACAGGAGGAGUUGAUAUAGCAGUGAGUUACAGAGGAAUCAGGAGGAAAGGAGAGAGUAGAGAUUGUGUGUUUGGAGAGAACGAUCACUCCUGGUGUCUGUACUGCUCUAAUGAUGGUCACUUUGUCAGGCACGAUAACAUGAGAACAUAUC